rnacentral:rRNA from 1 species
UUCGCCCUUAGAGUUUGAUCCUGGCUCAGGACGAACGCUGGCGGCGUGCCUAACACAUGCAAGUCGAGCGAAUGAAGUUCCUUCGGGAACGGAUUUAGCGGCGGACGGGUGAGUAACACGUGGGCAACCUGCCUCAUAGAGGGGAAUAGCCUUCCGAAAGGGAGAUUAAUACCGCAUAAGAUUGUAGUACCGCAUGGUACAGCAAUUAGAGGAGUAAUCCGCUAUGAGAUGGGCCCGCGGCGCAUUAGCUAGUUGGUGAGGUAACGGCUCACCAAGUCCACGAUCAGUAGCCGGACUGAGAGGUCGAACGGCCACAUUGGAACUGAGAUACGGUCCAGACUCCUACGGGAGGCAGCAGUGGGGAAUAUUGGGCAAUGGGGGAAACCCUGACCCAGCGACGCCGCGUGAGGGAAGAAGGUCUUCGGAUUGUAAACCUUUGUCAACAGGGACGAAAUAAAUGACGGUACCUGAAGAGGAAGCCACGGCUAACUACGUGCCAGCAGCCGCGGUAAUACGUAGGUGGCGAGCGUUAUCCGGAUUUACUGGGUGUAAAGGGUGUGUAGGCGGGAUGGCAAGUCAGAUGUGAAAUGCCGCGGCUUAACUGCGGCACUGCAUCAGAAACUGCCGUUCUUGAGGGUGGGAGAGGUAAGCGGAAUUCCUGGUGUAGCGGUGAAAUGCGUAGAUAUCAGGAGGAACACCGGUGGCGAAGGCGGCUUACUGGACCAUCACUGACGCUGAUACACGAAAGCGUGGGGAGCAAACAGGAUUAGAUACCCUGGUAGUCCACGCCGUAAACGAUAAAUACUAGGUGUGGGGGGGCAAGCCUCCGUGCCGACGUUAACGCAUUAAGUAUUCCACCUGGGGAGUACGGCCGCAAGGUUGAAACUCAAAGGAAUUGACGGGAGCCCGCACAAGCAGUGGAGUAUGUGGUUUAAUUCGAUGCAACGCGAAGAACCUUACCAGCUCUUGACAUCUUCUGUUCACUCUAGAGAUAGAGCUUCCCCUUCGGGGGCAGAAUGACAGGUGGUGCAUGGUUGUCGUCAGCUCGUGUCGUGAGAUGUUGGGUUAAGUCCCAUAACGAGCGCAACCCCCAUUGUUAGUUGCCAGCAUUCAGUUGGGCACUCUAGCGAGACUGCCGGUGAUAAACCGGAGGAAGGUGGGGAGGACGUCAAAUCAUCAUGCCCCCUAUGAGCUGGGCUACACACGUGCUACAAUGGACGGUACAACGGGUAGCGAGGGCGCGAGCCUUAGCAAAUCCUAAUAAGCCGUUCUCAGUUCGGAUUGUUCUCUGCAACUCGAGAGCAUGAAGCCGGAAUCGCUAGUAAUCGCGGAUCAGAAUGCCGCGGUGAAUAAGUUCCCGGGUCUUGUACUCACCGCCCGUCA